GAGUAACACGUGAGAAUUUACCCUUAGGAGGGGGAUAACAAUUGGAAACAAUUGCUAAAACCCCAUAUGCUUCCGAGUGAAAUAGAUUUAUCUGCCUAGGGAAAAGCUCGCGGCUGAUUAGCUAGUUGGUAGAGUAAUAGCCUACCAAGGCGACGAUCAGUAUCUGGUUUGAGAGGACGAUCAGACACACUGGAACUGAGACACGGUCCAGACUCCUACGGGAGGCAGCAGUGGGGAAUUUUCCGCAAUGGGCGAAAGCCUGACGGAGCAAUACCGCGUGAGGGAUUAAGGCCUGCGGGUCGUAAACCUCUUUUUUCAGGGAGGAAGAUAUGACGUGUACCUGAAGAAUAAGCAUCGGCUAACUCCGUGCCAGCAGCCGCGGUAAGACGGAGGAUGCAAGUGUUAUCCGGAAUCACUGGGCGUAAAGCGUCUGUAGGUGGUUUGAUAAGUCGGUUUGUUAAAAUCCAGAGGCUUCACUUCUAAAUCGCAUUCGAAACUAUCAGACUUGAGUAUAGUAGAGGUAAAGGGAAUUUCCAGUGGAGCGGAGAAAUGCGUAGAUAUUGGAAAGAACACCAAUUGCGAAGGCACUUUUACUUGGGCUUAUCACUGACACUCAGAGACGAAAGCUAGGGUUAGCAAAUGGGGAUUUAGAUACCCCAGUA
rnacentral:rRNA from 1 species